AAAUAUAUGCGUGUUCUUGCAAUGUUCUCAAAUUAAGCGCUUUGUAGUUAAUAAUACAGCAUAUAUGUUUAAGUGAACGAAGAGCCGUGGGCAUGCAUGCAUAUGUAAACAAACUUGCGGCACUCAGGUGCUGGUGCACUGGGAAUGACAUUGGUUCUCUACGCCAAAAAUUGUGCGCACUAUAAAUCAGUACCGAAACGCAGGGAGUGAUAUAAUGACCGUAACUGCGUUUACAUUUAGCAACAAAUGGUCUCGAAGGGAACUGGCGGCCUAUAGAUCCAAUUACAACGGUCGGAUGAAAUUUUUGAAUGCGGGAAGCAAAUAACCCAAGUGUGAAAAGGGCUUUGCUGAACUGCAAUGUAGUUGGUUUACCUCAUUCCCAUAAUAUUUCCUAAAUAUUUCGUCUCUAUCAAUAACUGCCCAUUCAUUGAGACAAAUCGAUUACGCAUAAUCUUCACUGUUCAUGCGUUAAUUCUUGCGGUAAGAUGUAAUCGCAAACAUUUGGCGCUUCAUGUUGAAACAAGACCGGUAAGCGCGCUCGUUCUUGUACGGCAGAAUAAAGAACGCGAACAUGCAACGACAUGUGUGCAAACUACUGGAAGGGGACUGAAAAUGAAGGACCUAUGACCGUGCUAGUGCUGUGUGUACUGUCAAAAAGAAAAAAAAAAAGAUGGAAAGAAAGAAUGCCCAGUGCCGAAAUGUAGGGAUUCAAGCUUUAUGUCUUUUUGACCCAGAAUGCAUCCAACACCAUUAGUUCCAUGCGCUUUAUCUAUGGGUCAAUGUUAUGACACAACUCAUUAUUCACCCGCUCAUUACAUGCACGAACCAGCCCAAAGUAGCACUAUACUAGAGCUUAUUGACGCAUCGCAAUGCACUGCUUUGCACUUCAUUGCAGUGCAGGGGUUUGCUAUCCCCAGUAGCGAACGGUUUGGUUGACCUCCCUGCCUUUCUGCUUCUGGCAUUCUCUCUCCCUUUGUAUAAAACGCACUAACUUGUGGGAGAGAAAGCGUUCUCCUCUGUUAGAAUUCAAUUAUUUGUAGAGCACAAAUGCGAAAACGAAACCGAUUCUGUUGUUCUCCGCGCUCACAGAGUGCGGCACCAGGGGGCAGCGCGCGCUGCGCUUCGCGGCUUCCGUUAGGAGUGGUAGACAAAGCUGCACAUGUGUAGUCAGCUGGCAUUUAUCGUGUCGUGUUGUAAAAAUUGUUAAUUUGCCGUAAAUAUAUCUUGAUUUGUACUCAAGAGUGGAGCAAGACCCCAAGGAAGAGAGAUUGACGCAUCGGGAGCGAAGAACUGAAACGAUGGAUGGUUACGCUGCUUGGCUCUCGGCACGUUCGAAUUGGCAAAGUUCCGAAUUUGUCGCUGUGUGGUGCACGCUUGUGCGCUCGUCAUUUGCCGUCAUCGCGCGGGGAUAUUUGCGCUGAAUGUCUUUCACUUCGUGUACAAAACUCUGCACGCUGCGGCAUCGAAGAAGUUGUCCUGUGUUUGGGUGCACGUAUGCGCUUGGAGACGCGAUAGCCUGCUUGCUCUCAACGAGUGUUCAACAGUCUACGCGCGCUCGUAACUUGCUCAUGAGGAGCUGAGAAGAGGUCUGCUGCCUGCAACGGGUCCACGUCUGUCGAGCUAUCGCAGUAUUGCAGCUCUCAAAGUUCAAAAAAGUAAGGUAGGAGCUGUUGCCAAGUUUCUGACCAGAAAGGAAAGCCAGUAGUAUAAAGGGGUCCACACCACUGAUCUCUACUACCAGGGAUGGAGAGCACAACGAGCUCCCUCAACUGAAGCCAACCUUGUCCCGGAAGUUGGUGCUUCACAACUUUGCAGCAGCACUACGUUUGCACGGCCUGUGGAGACAAGGUUUCUAAGACAUGGCCAUGGCCCUCAAGGAAGAUGCCGAGGCCACAGGCAGUUCCUCCAGUGACCGUGAAAAGGUCCCCUGGCCUGGGGCACAUGUCUAAUUUGGCACCCCCACCUUUCUUCUGCAGCUUUUCUGUCUACUUAGCUAACCAGCAGCAAGCUUAUCCUCGCAAGGCGUUUGGGGUCAAGAACAACUUUCACCAGCAAAAAGUGCAAGACGAGUGAGUGAAGACAAUAAAGUUCCUUCUGUG